GCUGCACCCCAGCGUUUCCCGCCGCAGUCCCCCCCCCCCCCCCCCCCCCUCCACCCCCUGCUUCCGAUUCCCGCUUCAGCUAUACCCGCAAGUCCUCGUCCCACCCCCGCUACCCCGUGUCCUGGGGACCGGGUCAAGAUGUGCGUAGGUGCUGGGAGGUAGACACCCCUCCUUCCUAGCCCCAGGCGUCACCCACGCCCAGGCCAGCACUGGAUCUUCCACUUACCUAACCUCCCCUCUCCCAAGUCCCAAGGCCACCCCCUGUGCCCCUCCUGAGAGCGGGUGACAAGCUGCUGAGACAGUGUCUGAUUCACCGACAGCUGAACCAGCUACGCGUACUUGGAGGUUUGCACUAUAAGAAAUGCUAAAGAAAACUCUUCAGGAUGAAAGAAAAUGAAACCUGAUGGAGACUCAGAUCUUUAGGAAGGAAUGAAGAGCAUCAUAUAUGGAGAGCAUCACCUUGUGGUCAGUGAGUUCAAACUCCCGGGCUCUGCUACCGAUGGAGACAGUCUGUUGUCGACCUUGAGCGACUUUCACAUUCUCUCUGGAUGCCUGUUUCCUUGCUUGGUGAAUAAACCAGGAGCAGACCAGAGUGAAAGUGGGAGACCAAUUCAGAGGCAAUUUCAGUGGUCCAGGUGGGAGAGGAUGGAGACCUGGACAAGAUGAUGGCAGAUGGAGAUGGAGAGAAGAGUUCCUUCUUUUUUAUUUAAAAUGCUGAUUUUUGAAGUAGCAAGCAACUGUUCAAGGUACCACUCAGGAAGAUGAGCAAAUCGAGGAAGUCCCUCUGGCCUAAAAAUUCUAUCAACUUGCCCAGGAAAUGAAGGCCUGAGAAUUGCACCAGGUGCUCGCUGGCCUCCUAGAUGCAUCUCAGCCUCUGCAUGGGCCAGAAAUGAGUAAUGUAUAACCCCCAAGGGUGACACAAGAUCUCCCACCCAAUUCUGUUCUUCUGGGUAUUUAGGGAAGAGCAAUAUCCAGGGCAAGGUGACGGUACUUCGCUCCACGGGACCGAAAUUUAGCAUCAACUGGAGAGUUGAAUCUAGAGGGUGGUCUGGGAGGCUGGGUAGAAUUGGAUUGAUUAUUAGGAGAAAAUUCGAAUAAUAUCAUUUAAGUACACACACAUUCUGAAUUAAAUACACAUUUGUGGAUCCCUGUACUUCUUAAUAAAAGGACACUUAGUUCCAAGUUCUCGUUAAGAAGCUGAUAAGCAUCCAUUUUCUUCUAUUCCGACAAUGAUUAUUCCUCAACUCUAUAAAAUUUACAAACUGCUUCGGAAGCAUUGGUGGAGAAAGGUGUUGUAUGAAUAUAUGAGAUUAUUGAAAUAAAUGCUGAUUUAGAGAUUUCCCAGGUGGAGAGUUAAAAUAUACUGGGGCACACGCACACACUCUCACCCCACCCUCAGGGUACUUUCCGCUCUGAUCAGCGGAGACAAAUUUUCCGACCUGACAGUUGACUGUAAAUCAAGAAGUGUGUUUUAAUAGUCACCACCUUUCUGCUUCUGUGUGCUGCUGUCUGAGGCAAUCCUUCACCUCCCGGGACACAAGACCUGAAGGAUUUUGGCACAUUCUCUCCCCUGCACAUGGAGAGGUGGUGCUUAGCAGCAAGGUAAAUAUUGGCAGGCUUGUAGGCGAGCAGUGAAUAUAAAUAAGUCAGGACAUCCUUAGAAAAGUUAAUCUCUGGAUCCACCGUUCUUUUUGCCAAUAGGUAAGAAAAUAGAAAAUCAUGAGUUUCUCAGGUUUUUGCCAAAUCACAACAAGAUAUUUUUGUAACAAUAUAAAAGCUAGAAAGUAUUUGAGAGUCAGUAAAUGCUGAGUAAAUAAUUCUGAAGGUGAACACAUGCCCUGAUUGCCACAAGCCCUGAUUACUGGGUUGGAUUACUACACUUGCUCCUCCUGACUUUAUCCCUCAUAAUCCUGUCCAUCAGCGUUUGCUUGGAGUAACGCAAAUAAAUCAGGCUGUUCCAUGCCCCAGUGUCUUUGCACCUGCUGCUGUUUAUGCCCGGACUGGAACCCUUUCCAUUAAUCCACGUGGGCCAGGGACAUUUUCUGAUCUUUCAACACUUGGUACCAGGAUCACCUUUAAUCUGCUUUAUGAAGCUUUUCUUGACAAACUCUCUCACUCCCAGACCUGCCACUUCAUCCUGUACAAAUGUGAUUGCACAUGUCUAUUUAACACAAACAUCACUGGCCUCUCUUGGCAAGUCUCUGCUCAUAUCCUGUACUCCCUCUGAGGCCACAAUCAACACUUCAUUGCUACCCAGUUGCCCUUUGUGACUUCUCAAGCCUCUUCCCAAAGCAUUUUAAGUAAUGUAGCUUUUACUGAAAUGUUCACAAGGGAGAAAAGUGGAGGGCUUACACUGAACACCAUGUGGCCAAACUUCAUAAAAAUCCCCACUAAAAAUCUCCAUCAUUCCAAAAGCCUGUUCUCCUUUUGCCAGCUGCCUUCUCUCCUCUGUCUCUUCCAUUCUCUGCUCUCCUCUAACCUCCUUUCACCCUUGGAUCCCUCAACACGGCCACAAUCCCAGCUCACAAUCCAGCCCUUUCAGCCCUUUCUCCUUCAUUAACUUGUGUCCUUGAAGUUUUAGGUCCUAUUCAUCAAACAAAGUAUCUCUGUGAGAUCACUCCCCUUUAAAAGGCAAGGGUCACAAAAUCUCCACAUUUCUUCUCCUUCCACUAAAGACUGGAGCAACUUGAGGGUAGGAAUCAAGCCCUAUACACUUUUGCAUCUCUUCUGCAAAAUAUUUAAAAUAUUGUGAAAUGGAAGAAGAAAUAAAUGAAAAAAUAUAGCCAAGGUUAAAAUCCCCAAAGCCCCACUCUAAUCACAGUUUUCUUCUGUUUGAAGAUCUUCCUUACCUCGUCAACUCAUGCUUUGGUCAUCUGCCAUUUCUCCCUGACUCUAGCACUCUUCCCCGCCAUGAUGGGCCCUCUCCACUCCAGCCCACUGGGCAUGUUCUUGCCCUCAGGUGCUCAUUCGGGUUGUCUCUCCAGGCCUGGAAUAAUCUAUGUCAUUCAUGAGGAUGGUUGGCGGUGGUUUACCAUCACCCUAUUGGAGGCCAAGGUAGACGCAACUGUUCUGGUUUCGUAGGUCCGUCCUAACCCUUCCCAGUCUUCAAGGCUCAGUGCGGGUCUUUGCUUCCUCAGCAGACUUCAUGGAGGUCUGCAGUCCAGGCGUAAUGCUCUCUCUCAUGUCCUUAGGACAUAAGCCUUGAACAGAUCCACUCUGAUGGCACUUAAUCAUUCAGCCUUAUAUUAUUGUGAAAUUCGGGGUAUGAGGCCUUGAGGUCAUCCUCUUUCCAAAAUGUGGUCAUCAUUAGGUCUGUUCACCAAAAUUUUAGGUGUUUUCCUCAUUUCUAGACUUGUGGUAAGUUUGUACUUGUCUAACCCCUUGAAGCUAUGUGUGGCUGUCUAAUUGACUCUGGCUAAUGACAUGUGAACAGAAUUGACAUAAGCCCCUUUGGGAAAGAAGCUUUCAGAGGAAGAGUGAUGGAUCAUGCUGUCUUUCCCUCUGACAUGGCAACUGGCAGUGUUUGAGGCAUCUGGUGGAUUGUUCAUCAGCCUGGGUCUGUGAAUGAGGACCCAGCGAUUCACAUGGGCAUUUGGUAUGAGCAAGAAGUAAACCUUUGUUAUGUUAUGCCAUUUAGAUUCAGAGAUUAUUUGAACAAUUAAUAACAUAAGUAAAUAAAUGUGUGUUGCUGCAGCACAACCAAUCCUAUCCAGACAGACUCUAAGUUCCCUGAAGGCAGCACUCAGGUAUAACUCACCUUUCUGUCCCCCAGAGAACAUAGCACAAUGCCUCACGGAUGUUCGAGAACUACUGCUGAUUGAUUACACAUACUGUGAUAAGGUAAAAUAUAUGAGACUAGAGAGUGGUACUUGGUGUCAGGACUUCAACUUGAGACUUAGCCUCUAAAAGACCAAAAUAAAUGUACGUGAUGAUUUCAGUAGUAUUCCAAUAAGAUCAUUGCAUACAGGGAGGCAGAAGAGUAUAAUGCAAGGAACCUGGGCUCUCCAGCUGGAUAGACCUGGUUCAAGUGGAAGCUUUACCAGGUACUUGGCUGCAUGACCUUGGGCUGGUUAUUUAAGGUCUUUGAGGCUGGGAGAACAUCACUACUUACUAGGAAGGAUUAUUGUGGGGAUUAAACAAGAGAAUGUAUGGAAAGCCCUUGGCACAUAAUGAAUGGUCAACAAACGUCAUUCUCUUAGGCUCUCCUCCCACCAACUGCGUGUGGGUUGGUACGAACUCUUGCUUAAUUCUCUGGGAACUACUUCCCUUCAUUUACACCCUCUGAGACCUUGGCUGCUCGCCUAGUCCCUGGAUUUCUUUAGCUUGGCCUACCUCAGAUCCUUAGGAUUUUGCUUUCCCUACCCCAUGCACACUCUGGCCUUCUGAGAAAUUCCAUAUGCAAAUGGUCACAGUUGACAGGAGCCCUUGGCAAAGGACUGCAAUGGGGGAAAAGGGUUCUUGAGACAGACUGUCUGCUGCCCCAAAUUUAAAAUAGGGCCCUUGGUAAGGUGUGUAUAGUCAGGGAGGUGAUCUCUAUGGGGAAGAAAGAAUUUAAGAUGUCAUGGUGACCAGUUCCAAGGAAGCCCCACCUUGGCCUGUGCCCUGGCUCUAAUGGCGGGGGGUUCUUCUCUUGAAUCCUGGGAUUGUAUCAGUGAUGGUCGCAGAGAAGUCUGUGAGAUUAUCUUCAAUGACUGACUCCUUCCACAGACUGGGUCUUGGUGUGGGGCCCGAGGGCUUAUGUUUUCUUGGACUCCUGGCCCAGUGAACUGUGUGUUUACAGGUUUACAAUUGUCCCUGACUGAGUCCUUGAGGCCACCUCCCCCCUUCCCCUCCCCAUGGAGCGCAACCGUGAUGUGACAUGUCUAACCACCCCAAGGUGCUUGUGUAACUUGUUUUUCAAAGUCUUGGCAGGAGCUCCGGUCCUGAAGUGAGAAAGGGUGUUUACAUUCUGGAAGAGCAGUGCCGACAAAUGUCUUGCAUCAGGGCUGUUCUCCACGAAUCUCUGCUUCCCAGCAGUUUUCUUCUCUGUGGGAUGGCUUGUGACAGCCACAGAGAUAGUCUGGGACCUGGAAGAAACGAGCCUGAACGUGAAAGCAGGCAUUCAAGGGACAGGGACAACAAAAGCUGUUUCCCUAUAAGGAAAAGAAAAGGUCCCCAGUGCCUGUGACUUCUCUCCCAGUUGUUCAGGCUGUCACAACAUUACAAAUAGUGUUCCCCAAUUUGCCAUAUGGCUUGAGAUUUCAUAAUGAGGGCUUUGGGUCUUUGGCCUUCAUAUGCAUCACCAACAUGAGAAGCUGCCAAUGCUUGCAGUGGAUUCCUUUCUUUAUACAAAAACUUACCAAAAACUCGCUAGUGAAGCAGGAAGAGCACAACUUUGUGGGAGCGGAGCUGGGAAUCUGAAGUGUGAGCGCUGGAUUUGAGUCUCCUAAGCAUGGGUAGCUGAUGACCACAGGAAGGAUCCGUGAGAAAGGCCAGAGAGUGGAAACUGAAACUGACUGACAACAGACUGGAAAGAGAGAGUCUGGAGCCGGGAUUAAGGGACUGUGUUUUCUGCAAGUCCACUGUCCGUCUAGGAGUUGGCAUCUUCCAGGAGAGGCUAGAGCUUGUGAGUCUCAGCUCAGCCUGAGGACCCAUGGAGAAGAACGUAAUUCCAGCUCCAAAGGCCUCUCUUGCACAGAAGAAUUUUUAGCGUUGAGAGGAAGUCUAGAUGAGAAAUGCUGAGGCCAAGAGAGAGAACUUGCCCAAGAUCAUACAGCCAGUAAAUGGGGAAGCUGAGAUUCAAACUCAGUCACUCGGCUUGCGGAAUUGUGACAAUAAGCUGUAUCUUCUGGGUCUGGCUGGGCCCCUGCCAUCCCUAUCAGUUGCUGUGUAUCUCUUAGCAAGGACUGGUCUUUUCUCAUGGUGCUCUGUUCCUUCUCCCAGUGGACCCUUGGUGCAUUUAAAAGUUUCAUGAAUAUAACCAAAUAUCUGACGUGUUCAGGAAGUAGAGGCAGGAAAAGAGAAAGGAGAGGGAAAAGUAAGGCGGCAGUGGGGUGGGUUGAGGAAUGUGCUUUUGAGGCUGGGCUGGAGCAGGCAGUGUGAAGGGGUACAGUGCUGCUCCUCAUCACCAUUACCUGGCAACAGCGUCUGGACCACCUCUGCUUCCAUCUUCACCCCUGACAAUCCAUCCACCCUCCACAUGUCCACUAGGCUUAUCUUUCCAAAGCAGCACUGUCCUCAUCACUCCCCUAGUUCGUGCUUCCUGCUGACAUAUCUGACUUUUCCUGUCCCCAACUGAACUCUUCCUCUCUCCCUCAAUGCCAACUCCCCCUUCCCGCCCCACCCACCGUCUGCUCUUCAGAUGGCCAUUCCAGACUCGCAGUUGGCCCCACCCUCCCUUCCCCAUUCCUGUCCCACUAUUUCCCCACAUGAAGCUCAGCCUGGCAAGUUUUCUGUCUGUCCCUGCAAGCAUGGGGCUUGUCUGAUCUCAGCGCCUUCGCCCAUGUUGUGUCCCUGCCUGGAAUGCACCCAUCCCCCGCCCCCUCUCUAUACCUACUCAUCCUUCAGACCCAGUUCAGGGCUUGCCUCUACCCUGAUAGCUUCCUCUGAUCUCUUCCUUUAUCUUUGCAAAUCUGCUUUUGUAUCAUCCCUUUAGGAAUAUCACCAAAUACUGUAGAGUAUUUAAAUGGUUCAUGUUUAUACCCUCAACCAGAUUCAUUCAUUCAUUUUGAAACUAUUUAUUGAAUUGCCUGUUAAGUUGCAGACACGGGAAGUUCAAUGACAAUGAAAGCAGAAGAGGUGUUAUCACUCCAGGAUCCACAAACAGGGCCAGAACAGUGUGGUGGAGGGCUAUUGUUCUUUUUUUUUUUCUUUUAAAGAUUGACAGCUGAGCUAACAUCUGUUGCUAACCUUCCUCUUUUUUUUCUUCUUCUUCUUCUCCCCAAAUCCCUCC